rnacentral:lncRNA from 1 species
UGUUUACACCUCAAAAAUUACUAUGAGUACAGACAAACUGGUACAUCCAGGAAAGUUUUAAGGCAUGGCAGGAACUAGAUAUAUAAAAGUUAUAUGAAGUCUACGUUUCAGAAAAUUAAAAACUUACCUAGAUUUUGAUGUCCAUUUUUUUCCAGUCUGCAGAAGAUAGCAAAAUAAACAAACACCCGAGUUUCAUUUGAUACGGUCC